rnacentral:rRNA from 1 species
CCUAUAAGACUGGGAUAACUUCGGGAAACCGGAGCUAAUACCGGAUAACAUUUAGAACCGCAUGGUUCUAAAGUGAAAGAUGGUUUUGCUAUCACUUAUAGAUGGACCCGCGCCGUAUUAGCUAGUUGGUAAGGUAACGGCUUACCAAGGCGACGAUACGUAGCCGACCUGAGAGGGUGAUCGGCCACACUGGAACUGAGACACGGUCCAGACUCCUACGGGAGGCAGCAGUAGGGAAUCUUCCGCAAUGGGCGAAAGCCUGACGGAGCAACGCCGCGUGAGUGAUGAGGGGUUUCGGCUCGUAAAACUCUGUUAUUAGGGAAGAACAAAUGUGUAAGUAACUGUGCACAUCUUGACGGUACCUAAUCAGAAAGCCACGGCUAACUACGUGCCAGCAGCCGCGGUAAUACGUAGGUGGCAAGCGUUAUCCGAAAUUAUUGGGCGUAAAGCGCGCGUAGGCGGUUUCUUAAGUCUGAUGUGAAAGCCCACGGCUCAACCGUGGAGGGUCAUUGGAAACUGGGAAACUUGAGUACAGAAGAGGAAAGUGGAAUUCCAUGUGUAGCGGUGAAAUGCGCAGAGAUAUGGAGGAACACCAGUGGCGAAGGCGACUUUCUGGUCUGUAACUGACGCUGAUGUGCGAAAGCGUGGGGAUCAAACAGGAUUAGAUACCCUGGUAGUCCACGCCGUAAACGAUGAGUGCUAAGUGUUAGGGGGUUUCCGCCCCUUAGUGCUGCAGCUAACGCAUUAAGCACUCCGCCUGGGGAGUACGACCGCAAGGUUGAAACUCAA